rnacentral:ncRNA from 2 species
CUACCAUAAAGAGAAGGGGAGAGACAAGCUCUGUGAUCCUUCAGCAACCUACUUUUUGUAAGGUGCUAAAGCUUGGCUGAUGGAGUUUUUUCACAUCCAUCAGGGCGAUGGGUG